rnacentral:rRNA from 1 species
AGCAGUAGCCGCGGGAAAACGGAGGGUGCAAGCGUUAAUCGGAAUUACUGGGCGUAAAGCGCACGCAGGCGGUCUGACAAGUCAGAUGUGAAAUCCCCGGGCUUAACCUGGGAACUGCAUUUGAAACUGUCAGGCUGGAGUCUUGUAGAGGGGGGUGGAAUUUCAGGUGUAGCGGUGAAAUGCGUAGAGAUCUGGAGGAAUACCGGUGGCGAAGGCGGCCCCCUGGACAAAGACUGACGCUCAGGUGCGAAAGCGUGGGGAGCAAACAGGAUUAGAGACCCCUGUAGUCCCUGUCUCUUAUAC